rnacentral:rRNA from 1 species
AUUGAACGCUGGCGGCAUGCUUUACACAUGCAAGUCGAACGGUAACAGCACUUCGGUGGCUGACGAGUGGCGAACGGGUGAGUAAUACAUCGGAACGUGCCUAGUAGUGGGGGAUAACUACUCGAAAGAGUAGCUAAUACCGCAUGAGAUCUAAGGAUGAAAGCAGGGGACCUUCGGGCCUUGCGCUACUAGAGCGGCUGAUGGCAGAUUAGGUAGUUGGUGGGAUAAAAGCUUACCAAGCCGACGAUCUGUAGCUGGUCUGAGAGGACGACCAGCCACACUGGGACUAAGACACGGCCCAGACUCCUACGGGAGGCAGCAGUGGGGAAUUUUGGACAAUGGGCGCAAGCCUGAUCCAGCAAUGCCGCGUGCAGGAUGAAGGCCUUCGGGUUGUAAACUGCUUUUGUACGGAACGAAAAGCCCUCUUCUAAUACAGGAGGGUCAUGACGGUACCGUAAGAAUAAGCACCGGCUAACUACGUG